rnacentral:tRNA from 1 species
GGGAUUGUGGCUCAUUGGCAGAGCACUUGCCUUGUGAGUAUGAGGCACUGGGUUUGAUCCUCAGCACCA